UACGGGGGGGGCAAGCGUUGUUCGGAAUUACUGGGCGUAAAGGGCGCGUAGGCGGGCAAGCAAGUCCGGGGUGAAAUCUUUCGGCUCAACCGGAAAAGUGCCUUGGAUACUGCUUGUCUGGAGGGAGGUAGGGGCAUGUGGAACUUCUGGUGGAGCGGUGAAAUGCGUUGAUAUCAGAAGGAACGCCGGUGGCGAAAGCGACGUGCUGGACCUCUUCUGACGCUGAGGCGCGAAAGCUAGGGGAGCAAACGGG
rnacentral:rRNA from 1 species